ACUGAAAUUCCUUUUGUAUUUACUCAACAGAUAAUACAGACUGUUUAGACAGCACUGGUGAUCCUGCACUAUCAUGACAGCAUAUCUUGACUUUAAUAUAUUGGAACCUUCUGAAACUGAAAUGGCUGGUUAGCUACAGCUAAAGAUCAAACCACUAGAUAAUGAGAUCCUAGCUGAGUGAUCAAAAGAGAAUCAGAGAAAAAACGAUCUGGCCAGAAGCUUGCCUAGGGCCUUGUGGGAGAGCAUACGGGAAGCAGAAAGCAGCAGAGUUAAAAGCUGUGGAACAACUGAGCUACAGGGCAACACUCCAUCAUAUUAUGCAGACCAGAAUAACACAGAAAGUUCAGUUUUGUUGACAAAAAGAAACUUCUCUUCCUAAAUAUGUGGCUGAAGCUGAAAAAAGAGAAACUCCUUAAACUCUUUUAUAUGAGGGAGAAACAAUGAUGAACUAUGUGUCCCUGUUGAAACGGCU
rnacentral:lncRNA from 1 species